rnacentral:rRNA from 1 species
UACGUAGGAUGCAAGCGUUGUCCGGAAUUAUUGGGCGUAAAGAGCGCGCAGGCGGUAUGACAAGUCAGAUGUGAAAGAGGCCGGCUUAACCGGCAAGGGUCAUUUGAAACUGUCAGACUAGAGUGCAGCAGAGGAUAGUGGAAUUCCCGGUGUAGUGGUGAAAUGCGUAGAUAUCGGGAGGAACACCAGUGGCGAAGGCGAGGUCCUGGACGCCUACUGACGCUGAGACGCGAAAGCCAGGGGAGCGAACGGG